CCUACGGGAGGCAGCAGUGAGGAAUAUUGGUCAAUGGGCGCGAGCCUGAACCAGCCACGUAGCGUGAAGGAUGACUGCCCUACGGGUUGUAAACAUCUUUUAUCAAGGAAUAAAGUGAGGCACGUGUGCCUUUUUGUAUGUACUUUAUGAAUAAGGAUCGGCUAACUCCGUGCCAGCAGCCGCGGUAAUACGGAGGAUCCGAGCGUUAUCCGGAUUUAUUGGGUUUAAAGGGAGCGUAGAUGGGUUGUUAAGUCAGUUGUGAAAGUUUGCGGCUCAACCGUAAAAUUGCAAUUGAUACUGGCAGCCUUGAGUACAGUUGAGGUAGGCGGAAUUCGUGGUGUAGCGGUGAAAUGCUUAGAUAUCACGAAGAACUCCGAUGGCGAAGGCAGCUUACUAAACUGCCACUGACAUUGAUGCUCGAAAGUGUGGGUAUCGAACAGGAUUAGAUACCCUUGUAGUC
rnacentral:rRNA from 1 species